rnacentral:rRNA from 1 species
GCAACCUGCCGGGCAGACGGGGAUAACGGGGGGAAACCGCAGCUAAGGCCGGAUAGGGCGCACGCACCGCCUGGUGCGUGCGGGAAAGGCGGCUACGGCCGCGCUGCCCGAGGGGCCCGCGGUGCAUUAGCCAGUUGGCGGGGCAGAGGCCCACCAAAGCAACGAUGCAUAGCCGACCUGAGAGGGUGAUCGGCCACAUUGGGACUGAGACGCGGCCCAAACUCCUACGGGAGGCAGCAGUAGGGAAUCUUCCACAAUGGACGAGAGUCUGAUGGAGCAACGCCGCGUGAGCGAAGAAGGUUUUCGGAUCGUAAAGCUCUGUUGCCGGAGAAGAACGGGCGGGAGAGGGAAUGCUCCCGUCGUGACGGUAUCCGGCGAGCAAGUCACGGCUAACUACGUGCCAGCAGCCGCGGUAAUACGUAGGUGGCGAGCGUUGUCCGGAAUUAUUGGGCGUAAAGGGCACGCAGGCGGCUGUUUAAGUCCGGUGUGAAAGGUUGCGGCUUAACCGCAAACGGGCACCGGAAACUGAAGAGCUUGAGGGCAGAAGAGGGGAGCAGAAUUCCACGUGUAGCGGUGAAAUGCGUAGAGAUGUGGAAGAAUACCGAUGGCGAAAGCGGCUCUCUGGUCUGCACCUGACGCUGAGGUGCGAAAGCGUGGGGAGCGAACAGGAUUAGAUACCCUGGUAGUCCACGCCGUAAACGAUGAAUGCUAGGUGUUAGGGGGGUCCAACCCCUUAGUGCUGAAGGCAACCCAUUAAGCAUUCCGCCUGGGGAAUACGACCGCAAGGUUGAAACUCAA